AAAUAGUUGGAAAAGGUGUUAAUUGAGAAAAAUUAGAUCAAUUGAGGGGUUAAUUGAGUAGGGAUCAAAUUGUAAAAACUGUAAAGUUUGGGGUAAAAGUGUAAUUUUGAAAAUUUAAGGGCAUAAAUUGUGAAAUGAAUUAGAAUAGAAUUAUAUGCUGAUGAAUGAAUAAAUUAGUAUUUUAGAUCGAGAACCUGAAGCAAGCCGAGGAAAAGAAAAAGUAGUUGAUUAGUCCCUGAACUUUUACAAAUUCUGCAAAUCG
rnacentral:lncRNA from 1 species